rnacentral:rRNA from 1 species
GACGAACGCUGGCGGCGUGCUUAACACAUGCAAGUCGAACGGUAAGGCCCUUCGGGGUACACGAGUGGCGAACGGGUGAGUAACACGUGGGUGAUCUGCCCUGCACUUCGGGAUAAGCCUGGGAAACUGGGUCUAAUACCGGAUAGGACUCCUGCCUGCAUGGGUGGGGGUGGAAAGCUUUUGCGGUGUGGGAUGGGCCCGCGGCCUAUCAGCUUGUUGGUGGGGUGAUGGCCUACCAAGGCGACGACGGGUAGCCGGCCUGAGAGGGUGACCGGCCACACUGGGACUGAGAUACGGCCCAGACUCCUACGGGAGGCAGCAGUGGGGAAUAGUGCACAAUGGGCGCAAGCCUGAUGCAGCGACGCCGCGUGAGGGAUGACGGCCUUCGGGUUGUAAACCUCUUUCAGCACAGACGAAGCGCAAGUGACGGUAUGUGCAGAAGAAGGACCGGCUAACUACGUGCCAGCAGCCGCGGUAA